rnacentral:rRNA from 1 species
UACGGAGGGUGCAAGCGUUAUCCGGAUUUACUGGGUUUAAAGGGUGCGUAGGCGGGUUGUUAAGUCAGUGGUGAAAGAUUCGAGCUCAACUCGAGAACUGCCAUUGAUACUGACGAUCUUGAAUAUAGUUGAGGUGGGCGGAAUGUGUCAUGUAGCGGUGAAAUGCUUAGAUAUGACAUAGAACACCAAUUGCGAAGGCAGCUCACUACGGAUAUAUUGGACACUGAGGCACGGAAAGCGUGGGGAUCAAACAGG